rnacentral:tRNA from 1 species
CGGGGCGUGGCGCAGUUUGGUAGCGCGCGUGACUGGGGGUCACGAGGUCGCUGGUUCAAGUCCAGUCGCCCCGA